AACGAACGCUGGCGGCAGGCUUAACACAUGCAAGUCGAACGCUCGUAGCAAUACGGGAGUGGCAGACGGGUGAGUAACACGUGGGAACGUCCCCCUCGGUUCGGAAUAACUCAGGGAAACUUGAGCUAAUACCGGAUACGUCCGAGAGGAGAAAGAUUUAUCGCCGAGGGAUCGGCCCGCGUCUGAUUAGCUAGUUGGUAGGGUAACGGCCUACCAAGGCGACGAUCAGUAGCUGGUCUGAGAGGAUGACCAGCCACACUGGGACUGAGACACGGCCCAGACUCCUACGGGAGGCAGCAGUGGGGAAUCUUGGACAAUGGGCGCAAGCCUGAUCCAGCCAUGCCGCGUGAGUGAUGAAGGCCUUAGGGUUGUAAAGCUCUUUCGACGGGGACGAUAAUGACGGUACCCGAGAAGAAGCCCCG
rnacentral:rRNA from 1 species